AGUGAGAAUAGAGUUUGUUCAUUUGCAAAAGCAUUUGCCAACUCACGCCAUGAGUCCAAUUCAACAAGGUGCACACAAACAUUCUUCCGCCGAACAAGUCCAUGAAGCAACUCAUGACAAGUUAGUGCCUGCAAAUCCCUCUCUCCAGGAUAUGAAGUGAGCGUUGUCUUCGAAAUGUGAAGAAUAAGAUCAAGCACUGCUUUCCCCUGGUUGUCCUCUUCACAAAAAUUAAGCAAUACUUUUUUGUGAUGUUUUGCCUUGUGAUCAUCUGAAGAUGCACUCAUUUUAUUUUCAUCAAGUGGCAUUAGAU
rnacentral:misc_RNA from 1 species